AGGGUAUCUCCUAGUCGAGCAGUCUCGACUUGAGCCUUCUUACUUGUUUUUAUAUAUAUAUAUAUGUAUUCGUGUUCGUGAUGUUCAGACAGUGUCUGUGCAACAAGUCGUAUGUCGCCCCAAUAAGUCGCGCUGACGAAUUGGUUCGGCCGACCAGUUUGAAUGCAGCAAGUUUGUCGUAAACGUCGCGUCAUGUUGGCUGCGUCUGUUCAUAUGCCCUGAACGUAUGACACGACGCAACAUGCUAACUCAAACCGAAAAUGCACAGAACUCGUUGGCGUGGGCGGUUCUUAAUGUGUUUUUUAUUUUUAUUACUUUUCGGUUAUGUUCUUCUUGUGCGGCUGCGCCAGUUACCAGUCUGGAGUCGUCCUCGGAGGAUGGAUGGGGAGUGCUGCGUAUCAAUUGUCAGUAAUGAGACGAUCCAGAUGCUGUUGCUAGAGAUAUUACUGUGUAAUUCUUUGAUUGUAAUGAAAAAGACCUCCGUCUUUACUUGCUCGAUUCGAACUGAGCAUACAUUUAUUCAAGAAAAUAUAUAUAUCGCUAAAUCUAAACCAA